ACUCCUACGGGAGGCAGCAGUGGGGAAUAUUGCACAAUGGGCGCAAGCCUGAUGCAGCCAUGCCGCGUGUAUGAAGAAGGCCUUCGGGUUGUAAAGUACUUUCAGCAGUGAGGAAGGCGAGUACGUUAAUAGCGUGCUCGUUUGACGUUAGCUGCAGAAGAAGCACCGGCUAACUCCGUGCCAGCAGCCGCGGUAAUACGGAGGGUGCGAGCGUUAAUCGGAAUUACUGGGCGUAAAGCGCAUGCAGGUGGUUUGUUAAGUCAGAUGUGAAAGCCCGGGGCUCAACCUCGGAAUUGCAUUUGAAACUGGCAGACUAGAGUACUGUAGAGGGGGUAGAAUUUCAGGUGUAGCGGUGAAAUGCGUAGAGAUCUGAAGGAAUACCGGUGGCGAAGGCGGCCCCCUGGACAGAUACUGACACUCAGAUGCGAAAGCUGGGGAGCAAACAGGAUUAGAUACCCUGGUAGCACAGAG
rnacentral:rRNA from 1 species